AAGACCUUGCGCUUUUGGAGCGGCCGAUGUCUGAUUAGCUUGUUGGUGAGGUAAAGGCUUACCAAGGCUUCGAUCAGUAGCUGGUCUGAGAGGACGGCCAGCCACACUGGGACUGAGACACGGCCCAGACUCCUACGGGAGGCAGCAGUGGGGAAUUUUGGACAAUGGGGGCAACCCUGAUCCAGCCAUGCCGCGUGAGUGAAGAAGGCCUUCGGGUUGUAAAGCUCUUUCAGCCGGAACGAAACGGUUACGGUUAAUACCCGUGACUACUGACGGUAUCGGAAGAAGAAGCACCGGCUAACUACGUGCCAGCAGCCGCGGUAAUACGUAGGGUGCAAGCGUUAAUCGGAAUUACUGGGCGUAAAGCGUGCGCAGGUGGUUUUGUAAGUCAGAUGUGAAAUCCCCGGGCUUAACCUGGGAACU
rnacentral:rRNA from 1 species